rnacentral:rRNA from 1 species
GAUGAACGCUGGCGGCGUGCCUAAUACAUGCAAGUCGAGCGAACAGACGAGGAGCUUGCUCCUCUGACGUUAGCGGCGGACGGGUGUGUAACACGUGGAUAACCUACCUAUAAGACUGGGAUAACUUCGGGAAACCGGAGCUAAUACCGGAUAAUAUAUUGAACCGCAUGGUCCAAUAGUGAAAGACGGUUUUGCUGUCACUUAUAGAUGGAUCCGCGCCGCAUUAGCUAGUUGGUAAGGUAACGGCUUACCAAGGCAACGAUGCGUAGCCGACCUGAGAGGGUGAUCGGCCACACUGGAACUGAGACACGGUCCAGACUCCUACGGGAGGCAGCAGUAGGGAAUCUUCCGCAAUGGGCGAAAGCCUGACGGAGCAACGCCGCGUGAGUGAUGAAGGUCUUCGGAUCGUAAAACUCUGUUAUUAGGGAAGAACAAAUGUGUAAGUAACUAUGCACGUCUUGACGGUACCUAAUCAGAAAGCCACGGCUAACUACGUG